CGGAUUGCAGAAAAUUGGAGAGGUCCAAGAGACCUUCAGUAAUGUCCAAAUCAGGGAGAGUAAUGUGUGUUGUACUUUUUUUCCUUCACCAUGGUUUUUUCCCUAUUGGGUUUUCCUGAUAAGGUUUUAAUGAGGCAACAUUAAAGCACAUUACAAGCUCUAAAUGGUUAUGACAUCCAAAGGGAGUGUUAUGAACCAGAUUGUGAAUGCCUCAUAACCAAGAGAUUAUGAUUUGUAAUUUUUCCAUUACAAGCUCUAAAUGGUUAUGGCAUCCAAAAGGAGUGUUAGGAAGCAGAUUGUGGAUGGCUCAUAACCAAGAGAUUAUGAUUUGUAAUUUUUCCAUUACAAGCUCUAAAUGGUUAUGGCAUCCAAAAGGAGUGUUAGGAAGCAGAUUGUGGAUGGCUCAUAACCAAGAGAUUAUGAUUUGUAAUC
rnacentral:lncRNA from 1 species